rnacentral:rRNA from 1 species
GAUGAACGCUGGCGGCGUGCCUAACACAUGCAAGUCGAGCGAACGGACGAGAAGCUUGCUCCUCUGCUGUUAGCGGCGGACGGGUGAGUAACACGUGGAUAACCUACCUAUAAGACUGGGAUAACUACGGGAAACCGGAUCCGAUACCAGAUCAUACUUUGAACCGCAUGGUUCAAAAGUGAAAGACGCUCUUGCUGUCACUUAUAGAUGGAUCCGCGCUGCAUUAGCUAGUUGGUAAGGUAACGGCUUACCAAGGCAACGAUGCAUAGCCGACCUGAGAGGGUGAUCGGCCACACUGGAACUGAGACACGGUCCAGACUCCUACGGGAGGCAGCAGUGGGGAAUAUUCCGCAAUGGGCGAAAGCCUGACGGAGCAACGCCGCGUGAGUGAUGAAGGUCUUCGGAUCGUAAAACUCUGUUGUUAGGGAAGAACAUAUGUGUAAGUAACUGUGCACAUCUUGACGGUACCUAAUCAGAAAGCCACGGCUAACUACGUG